rnacentral:lncRNA from 10 species
GUAGAGACGGGGUUUCACCAUGUUAGCCAGGAUGGUCUCAAUCUCCUGACCUCGUGAUCCACCCGCCUUGGCCUCCCAAAGUGCUGGGAUUACAGGCGUGAGCCACCGCGCCCGGCCACACUGUGAUUUCUUAUACUUUAUGGAUGCUACUGAUCCCAUAGUGAAAUCAGCUUGGUAAUAACUUAGAAAUUUCAUGUCCUUCUUUCUAGAUGAAUUCUUUCCUGUGUUUUUUUUUAUUUGCUGUAUUAAUUGGUCGAAAGGAGCUUUUUGCUGCAUUUGGUUUUUAUGAUAGCCAACCCACUCUUAUUGGACUAUUGAUCAUCUUCCAGUUUAUUUUUUCACCUUACAAUGAGGUUCUUUCUUUUUGCCUAACAGUCCUAAGCCGCAGAUUUGAGUUUCAAGCUGAUGCAUUUGCCAAGAAACUUGGGAAGGCUAAAGACUUAUAUUCUGCUUUAAUCAAACUUAACAAAGAUAACUUGGGAUUCCCUGUUUCUGACUGGUUGUUCUCAAUGUGGCAUUAUUCUCAUCCU